rnacentral:misc_RNA from 1 species
UUUCCGUAGGUGAACCUGCGGAAGGAUCAUUCAUAAUAAGUGUUUUAUGGCACUUUUUUAAAUCCAUAUCCACCUUGUGUGCAAUGUCAGGGUUGAUUUUUCUCUCGAGAGGAUCAACCCCAAACAUCAACUAUAUCUCAACUCUUUGUCUGAAAAAUAUUAUGGAUAAAACAAUUCAAAAUACAACUUUCAACAACGGAUCUCUUGGCUCUC